rnacentral:rRNA from 1 species
UAGGGAAUCUUCGGCAAUGGACGAAAGUCUGACCGAGCAACGCCGCGUGAGUGAAGAAUGUUUUCGGAUCGUAAAACUCUGUUGUUAGAGAAGAACAAGGACGUUAGUAACUGAACGUCCCCUGACGGUAUCUAACCAGAAAGCCACUGCUAACUACGUGCCAGCAGCCGCGGUAAUACGUAGGUGGCAAGCGUUGUUCGGAUUUAUUUGGCGUAAAGCGAGCGCAGGCGGUUUCUUAAGUCUGAUGUGAAAGCCCCCGGCUCAACCGGGGAGGGUCAUUGGAAACUGAGAGACUUGAGUGCAGAAGAGGAGAGUGGAAUUCCAUGUGUAGCGGUGAAAUGCGUAAAUAUAUGGAGGAACACCAGUGGCGAAGGCAGCUCUCUAGUCUGUAACUGACGCUGAGGCUCGAAAGCGUGGGGAGCAAACAGG